UACGGGGGGGGCAAGCGUUGUUCGGAAUUACUGGGCGUAAAGCGCACGUAGGCGGAUCGUUAAGUCGGGGGUGAAAUCCUGGAGCUCAACUCCAGAACUGCCUUCGAUACUGGCGAUCUUGAGUCCGGAAGAGGUGAGUGGAACUCCUAGUGUAGAGGUGGAAUUCGUAGAUAUUAGGAAGAACACCAGUGGCGAAGGCGGCUCACUGGUCCGGUACUGACGCUGAGGUGCGAAAGCGUGGGGAGCAAACAGG
rnacentral:rRNA from 1 species